rnacentral:rRNA from 1 species
UGGUGGAGUGAUUUGUCUGGUUAAUUCCGAUAACGAACGAGACCUCGACCUGCUAAAUAGUGGGAGUCGGUAUCUGGAUGGGUAGAAGGGGAGGGUUUGGUGGGAGGGUGCUUGCACUUUCUCACCGCGCUCCUUGGAACCCUGAUCACCGGCUCUUCAUUUUACUUCUUAGAGGGACUGAUGAUGGUAAAUCAUCGGAAGUGAGGCAAUAACA